UGGCAGACGGCUGAGUAACGCGUGGGUGACCUGUCCUGUAGUGGGGAAUAACUGCCCGAAAGGGUGGCUAAGACCGCAUGAGCUUCAUCUGUCGGAGGGUGGAGGAAAGCCCCUUUGGGGGUACUGGAGGAGGGGCCCGCGUCCGAUUAGCUAGUUGGGGAGGUAACGGCUCACCAAGGCUUCGAUCGGUAACCGGCCUGAGAGGGCGAUCGGUCACACCGGAACUGAGACACGGUCCGG
rnacentral:rRNA from 1 species